rnacentral:rRNA from 1 species
GCAGAGCAUCCUACGGGAGGCUAGCAGUGGGGAAUAUUUGCACAAUGGGCGCAAGCCUGAUGCAGCCAUGCCGCGUGUAUGAAGAAGGCCUUCGGGUUGUAAAGUACUUUCAGCAGUGAGGAAGGUGGGUAUGUUAAUAGCAUACUCAUUUGACGUUAGCUGCAGAAGAAGCACCGGCUAACUCCGUGCCAGCAGCCGCGGUAAUACGGAGGGUGCGAGCGUUAAUCGGAAUUACUGGGCGUAAAGCGCAUGCAGGUGGUUUGUUAAGUCAGAUGUGAAAGCCCGGGGCUCAACCUCGGAAUUGCAUUUGAAACUGGCAAACUAGAGUACUGUAGAGGGGGUAGAAUUUCAGGUGUAGCGGUGAAAUGCGUAGAGAUCUGAAGGAAUACCGGUGGCGAAGGCGGCCCCCUGGACAGAUACUGACACUCAGAUGCGAAAGCGUGGGGAGCAAACAGGAUUAGAUACCCUGGUAG